rnacentral:rRNA from 1 species
UACGUAGGGCGCAAGCGUUGUCCGGAAUUAUUGGGCGUAAAGAGCUCGUAGGCGGCUUGUCACGUCGAUUGUGAAAGCCCGAGGCUUAACCUCGGGUCUGCAGUCGAUACGGGCUAGCUAGAGUGUGGUAGGGGAGAUCGGAAUUCCUGGUGUAGCGGUGAAAUGCGCAGAUAUCAGGAGGAACACCGGUGGCGAAGGCGGAUCUCUGGGCCUGUACUGACGCUGAGGAGCGAAAGCGUGGGGAGCGAACAGG